CGUGAUCAGUUACUGGAACUGACGGGAACACACUGAGAACCCUUGAUGGUUGAAUUAGGGAUUAAUUCUCCACAUGACUAAUUUCCACAAGGGCUGGACAGUCUGCGGGCAGGUGGAAUGGAGAGAUGCUGAGGGAGAAAUAAAAACAAUUAGAAGUGGAAGAAUAGACAUGAGGGUCCAACUGCAGAGCUCACUCCUGCGGACAGGAGUCGGGGGGCUUUUCCGCCCAAGGAAUGAACUAAACAGGAUUUAACAACAUUCAGUUAUUUCCACGAAUUACUUUAAGUAGUGUUAUUGAAAAGUUGUUUGUCAGGUAACAGCCAAGGGCCAAAACUAAAAGCCUAAAUUUGGUUUCUUGUUGUGUGUAAGGUCUGAAUAAAAUACUUAGACAAAUGAC